rnacentral:tRNA from 1 species
GAAUUUUUAGUAUAUUUUUUUGUAUAACUAAUUGUUGAUUAGUAGGUUGAAAAUUCU